rnacentral:rRNA from 1 species
ACGGGUGAGUAAUGCUUAGGAAUCUGCCUAUUAGUGGGGGACAACAUCUCGAAAGGGAUGCUAAUACCGCAUACGUCCUACGGGAGAAAGCAGGGGACCUUCGGGCCUUGCGCUAAUAGAUGAGCCUAAGUCGGAUUAGCUAGUUGGUGGGGUAAAGGCCUACCAAGGCGACGAUCUGUAGCGGGUCUGAGAGGAUGAUCCGCCACACUGGGACUGAGACACGGCCCAGACUCCUACGGGAGGCAGCAGUGGGGAAUAUUGGACAAUGGGGGGAACCCUGAUCCAGCCAUGCCGCGUGUGUGAAGAAGGCCUUUUGGUUGUAAAGCACUUUAAGCGAGGAGGAGGCUACCGAGAUUAAUACUCUUGGAUAGUGGACGUUACUCGCAGAAUAAGCACCGGCUAACUCUGUGCCAGCAGCCGCGGUAAUACAGAGGGUGCAAGCGUUAAUCGGAUUUACUGGGCGUAAAGCGCGCGUAGGUGGCCAAUUAGGUCAAAUGUGAAAUCCCCGAGCUUAACUUGGGAAUUGCAUUCGAUACUGGUUGGCUAGAGUAUGGGAGAGGAUGGUAGAAUUCCAGGUGUAGCGGUGA